rnacentral:rRNA from 1 species
GACGAACGCUGGCGGCGUGCUUAACACAUGCAAGUCGAACGGAAAGGCCCUGCUUUUGUGGGGUGCUCGAGUGGCGAACGGGUGAGUAACACGUGAGUAACCUGCCCUUGACUUUGGGAUAACUUCAGGAAACUGGGGCUAAUACCGGAUAGGAGCUCCUGCUGCAUGGUGGGGGUUGGAAAGUUUCGGCGGUUGGGGAUGGACUCGCGGCUUAUCAGCUUGUUGGUGGGGUAGUGGCUUACCAAGGCUUUGACGGGUAGCCGGCCUGAGAGGGUGACCGGCCACAUUGGGACUGAGAUACGGCCCAGACUCCUACGGGAGGCAGCAGUGGGGAAUAGUGCACAAUGGGCGGAAGCCUGAUGCAGCAACGCCGCGUGCGGGAUGACGGCCUUCGGGUUGUAAACCGCUUUCGCCUGUGACGAAGCGUGAGUGACGGUAAUGGGUAAAGAAGCACCGGCUAACUACGUGC